rnacentral:rRNA from 1 species
UUGACCUCGGAUCGGGCAGGGAUACCCGC